AACGCACCUUGCGCUCCUUGGUAUUCCGAGGAGCAUGCCUGUUUGAGUGUCAUUAAAUUCUCAACCUCACCAAUUUUGUUAUGAAGUUGUGUGUAGGCUUGGAUGUGGGGGUUGCAGGUCCACUCUGUGGUCUGCUCCUCUGAAAUGUAUUAGUGGGUUUGGCCCCUAAUCUAUUGGUGUGAUAAUUAUCUACGCCGUGGAUUGGAAGGCUGUUACGACCUGCUUCUAACCGUCCUUCACAGGACAACUCUUGACAUUUUUGACCUCAAAUCAGGUAAGACUACCCGCUGAACUUAA
rnacentral:misc_RNA from 1 species